rnacentral:rRNA from 1 species
CGAAAAAUUCAAAUAUAGAACUAAGAUUGAGAUAAGUAGAGCGGGACACGUGAAAUCCUGUUUGAAGAUAGGGGGGACCAUCCUCUAAGGCUAAAAUACUCGUAAUCGACCGAUAGUGAACCAGUACCGUGAGGGAAAGGCGAAAAGAACCCCGGAAGGGGAGUGAAAUAGAUCCUGAAACCGCAUGCAUACAAACAGUGGGAGCCCGUAAGGGUGACUGCGUACCUUUUGUAUAAUGGGUCAGCGACUUACAUUCAGUAGCAAGCUUAACCGAAUAGGGGAGGCGCAGCGAAAGCGAGUCUUAAUAGGGCGUAUAGUUGCUGGGUGUAGACCCGAAACCAGAUGAUCUACUCAUGGCCAGGAUGAAGCGAGGGUAACACCUCGUGGAGGUCCGAACCCACUAAUGUUGAAAAAAUUAGGGGGAUGAGCUGUGGGUAGGGGUGAAAGGCUAAACAAAUCUGG